rnacentral:lncRNA from 1 species
CAGUCAGAAAUGUGUUGAUGUUAAACAGGUAUAAUACUACUCAAUACAAAUAAUGAAGCAGGCUCCUUCAUUGUGUUCAAAAGAUAUCAAUAAAGAAGUAGGACCAACUUCACUCAAAUCUGUUUCAAAAAGGGGUCAAGUUCUGGAAAAAAAUGUUUCGUUCCUUUUGAUCAUAAAGCUCUUCAACUUUGAGUGUUCAAGGUGAAGGUCAUUUCAGAAAAGCGCUUCGAACGCUUGGAAUUUCUGACGUUGUGUAUUCAUAUUUCUAACAGCACGGGGUCAACCCCUCCGCUAUACAUAGUGAACUAUCAAUCCCCAAGGGUAUCAUCGGCUCAGUAUUCAGUACUUUGAUAAUGACAUGAUUUAUAACAAACCAAUCAUAAAAUUGUCGGUUUAUAAAUUUAUAAAUUAUAUUUUUUUUUUAGAAACUCAUUUACUAAGGGCACAACUCCCUCAUUCAAAUUUUACUUUAGAAAGAUUUGGCUAGGUCUUUUUCGGUCAAACUUAUAUAGCUCUGAAACUGUUUCGGUUCUUAUGUCCAUAGCUUUUAAAUAUAAGGCUUUGAGCGUUACUGAUGAAGGUAAAUACAGAAUAGCGCUUUGGAUGCA